UGCAGUCGACGAUGACCACUUCGGUGGGGAUUAGUGGCGAACGGGUGAGUAACACGUGGGCAAUCUGCCCUGCACUCUGGGACAAGCCCUGGAAACGGGGUCUAAUACCGGAUACUGACCCGCUUGGGCAUCCAAGCGGUUCGAAAGCUCCGGCGGUGCAGGAUGAGCCCGCGGCCUAUCAGCUUGUUGGUGAGGUAAUGGCUCACCAAGGCGACGACGGGUAGCCGGCCUGAGAGGGCGACCGGCCACACUGGGACUGAGACACGGCCCAGACUCCUACGGGAGGCAGCAGUGGGGAAUAUUGCACAAUGGGCGAAAGCCUGAUGCAGCGACGCCGCGUGAGGGAUGACGGCCUUCGGGUUGUAAACCUCUUUCAGCAGGGAAGAAGCGAAAGUGACGGUACCUGCAGAAGAAGCGCCGGCUAACUACGUGCCAGCAGCCGCGGUAAUACGUAGGGCGCGAGCGUUGUCCGGAAUUAUUGGGCGUAAAGAGCUCGUAGGCGGCUUGUCACGUCGGUUGUGAAAGCCCGGGGCUUAACCCCGGGUCUGCAGUCGAUACGGGCAGGCUAGAGUUCGGUAGGGGAGAUCGGAAUUCCUGGUGUAGCGGUGAAAUGCGCAGAUAUCAGGAGGAACACCGGUGGCGAAGGCGGAUCUCUGGGCCGAUACUGACGCUGAGGAGCGAAA
rnacentral:rRNA from 1 species